rnacentral:rRNA from 1 species
UACGUAGGGGGCAAGCGUUGUCCGGAUUUAUUGGGCGUAAAGAGCGUGUAGGCGGCUGGGUAGGUCCGUUGUGAAAACUCGAGGCUCAACCUCGAGACGCCGAUGGAAACCCCCCAGCUAGAGUCCGGAAGAGGAGAGUGGAAUUCCUGGUGUAGCGGUGAAAUGCGCAGAUAUCGAGAGGAACACCAGUGGCGAAGGCGAGUCCCUGGACAACACCUGACACUGAGGCACGAAAGCUAGGGGAGCAAACAGG